UCUGAGUCUCUGAUAAAAGAAAAUCCAUAGCAGACGCACCAUGGCAGCAGCCUCCACCAAUUCCAUUUCCAUAUCUUACUUCCUUCUUCCAGCUUUACUUCUUCUUCCUUUUCUCUUCUUUCUCCUUCCCUCUAACCUCACUACUCCACCAUUAAAUUAUUUCAAGCUCACAGAAGCCAUCCACACCACCCCAUCAUCACCACAACUUCCCCUACAUGGGUUUCUCUCAGCUGCCUCCAUGUAUGAAACCAGCAAAGUCAAGGCCACAACUACUCCUAAAAAAAAGAUCAGAAGUAGCUUGGAGAAAAUUGAACAAGGUUUAGCUAGAGCACGAGCAGCGAUUCGUGAAGCAAUUCGAUCCAGGAACUUCACAUCAUCAGAGAAUCAUACUGACACAUUCAUCCCCAGUGGAUCAAUUUACUUGAAUCCUUAUGCUUUUCACCAAAGUCACAUAGAGAUGGAGAAGAGAUUCAAGGUCUGGUCCUACAGAGAAGGAGAGAGCCCCUUGACCCAUGAAGGCCCAUUAAAUGGUGUCUACUCUAUAGAGGGCCACUUCAUAAGCGAGAUCGAGAGCGAUAAGAGCCCAUUCAAGGCCCAAGUUCCUGAUGAGGCACAUGCGUUCUUCCUCCCUCUCAGUGUAACCUCAAUUAUUCAGUACAUCUACUUGCCUAUCAGAACAAUGGCCGACUACUCUAGGGACCGCCUCCGACGAGUAGUGACAGACUACGUCGACGUUAUAGCAAAUAAGUAUCCUUACUGGAACAGAAGUAAGGGUGCUGACCAUUUCAUGGUUUCUUGUCAUGAUUGGGCACCUGAUGCAUCACUUGCCAAUCCUGAGCUCUUCAACAGCUUCAUCAGAAUCCUUUGCAAUGCCAAUAUUUCAGAAGGGUUCAGGCCCAAGAGAGACGUCCCCAUACCAGAAAUUUUCAUAAACUUUGAAGGACUUAGACCGCCCAAUUUUGGGCAGGGUCCAAACAACCGUUCCAUCCUGGCAUUCUUUGAAGGAAGGGCUCAUGGGUUCAUUAGGGAAAUCCUGUUCAAGCAUUGGAAAAACAAAGAUAAUGAAGUUGUAGUGGAAGAGCACUACCCCAAGGGCUUAGGCUACAGCAAAUCAUUGGGCAGAAGCAAGUAUUGCUUGUGCCCAAGUGGGUAUGAAGUAGCAAGUCCAAGAGUGGUAGAUGCAAUUUACCAAGGGUGUGUGCCAGUGAUAAUUUCUAACAACUAUUCAUUACCCUUCAGUGACGUGCUUAAUUGGAGCAAAUUCUCCAUUGAAAUUCCAGUUGGAAAGAUACCAGAAAUUAAAAGCAUCUUGAAAGGAAUUUCAAAUAGGAAGUACUUAAGGAUGUAUAAAAGGGUGAAGAGGGUGCAAAGGCAUUUCGUGCUCAACAGGCCUGCCAAGCCAUAUGAUGUAACUUACAUGGUGCUUCACUCGCUUUGGCUCAGGAGGCUUAACUUCAAGGUGGUAGAAUGAUGUGUAUCCCCAUCAAAUAGACAAAGGGUGAAAGAAUACUAUAUUCAAUUAUGUAAUUAAGAAACAAGUAAACUAAAAAGAAAAAAG
rnacentral:misc_RNA from 1 species